rnacentral:rRNA from 1 species
UACGGAGGAUGCAAGCGUUAUCCGGAAUGAUUGGGCGUAAAGCGUCCGCAGGUGGCUGUGUAAGUCUGCUGUUAAAGAGUCUAGCUCAACUAGAUAAGAGCAGUGGAAACUACACGGCUAGAGUACGUUCGGGGCAGAGGGAAUUCCUGGUGUAGCGGUGAAAUGCGUAGAGAUCAGGAAGAACACCAGUGGCGAAGGCGCUCUGCUAGGCCGUAACUGACACUGAGGGACGAAAGCUAGGGGAGCGAAUGGG